AUUGAACGCUGGCGGCAUGCCUUACACAUGCAAGUCGAACGGCAGCACGGGUGCUUGCACCUGGUGGCGAGUGGCGAACGGGUGAGUAAUACAUCGGAACGUACCUUAUCGUGGGGGAUAACGCAGCGAAAGCUGUGCUAAUACCGCAUACGCCCUGAGGGGGAAAGCGGGGGAUCGAAAGACCUCGCGCGAUUAGAGCGGCCGAUGCCUGAUUAGCUUGUUGGUGGGGUAAAGCCCACCAAGGCGACGAUCAGUAGCUGGUCUGAGAGGACGAUCAGCCACACUGGGACUGAGACACGGCCCAGACUCCUACGGGAGGCAGCAGUGGGGAAUUUUGGACAAUGGGGGAAACCCUGAUCCAGCAAUGCCGCGUGAGUGAAGAAGGCCUCGGGUUGUAAAGACUCUUUCUCUAAGGAAGAAGUUCUGACGGUACUUGAGGAAUAAGCAUCGGCUAACUCUGUGCCAGCAGCCGCGGU
rnacentral:rRNA from 1 species